ACGGGAGGCAGCAGUGGGGAAUAUUGCACAAUGGGGGAAACCCUGAUGCAGCGAUGCCGCGUGGAGGAAGAAGGUUUUCGGAUUGUAAACUCCUGUCUUAAAGGACGAUAAUGACGGUACUUUAGGAGGAAGCUCCGGCUAACUACGUGCCAGCAGCCGCGGUAAUACGUAGGGAGCGAGCGUUGUCCGGAAUUACUGGGUGUAAAGGGAGCGUAGGCGGAGACGCAAGCAGUCUGUACAAUACCGGGGCCCAACCCCGGACCUGCAGACUGGACUGUGUCUCUUGGAUAGUUCAGGGGCAGGCGGAAUUCCUGGUGUAGCGGUGGAAUGCGUAGAGAUCAGGAAGAACACCGAUGGCGAAGGCAGCCUGCUGGGGACUCAUCGACGCUGAGGCUCGAAAGUGCGGGUAGCAAACAGGAUUAGAUACCCUGGUA
rnacentral:rRNA from 1 species